UACGGGGGGGGCAAGCGUUGUUCGGAAUUACUGGGCGUAAAGGGCUCGUAGGUGGCCAACUAAGUCAGACGUGAAAUCCCUCGGCUUAACCGGGGAACUGCGUCUGAUACUGGAUGGCUUGAGUGUGGGAGAGGGAUGCGGAAUUCCUGGUGUAGCGGUGGAAUGCGCAGAUAUCAGGAGGAACACCAAUAGCGAAGGCAGCUCGCUGGGACGGUACUGACGCUGAGGCGCGAAAGCGUGGGGAGCAAACAGG
rnacentral:rRNA from 1 species